rnacentral:rRNA from 1 species
CCUACGGGCGGCAGCAGUGGGGAAUAUUGGACAAUGGGGGGAACCCUGAUCCAGCCAUGCCGCGUGUGUGAAGAAGGCCCUCGGGUUGUAAAGCACUUUCAGUGAGGAAGAACGCCUGGUGGUUAAUACCCAUCAGGAAAGACAUCACUCACAGAAGAAGCACCGGCUAACUCCGUGCCAGCAGCCGCGGUAAUACGGAGGGUGCGAGCGUUAAUCGGAAUUACUGGGCGUAAAGGGCGCGUAGGUGGCUUGAUAAGCCGGUUGUGAAAGCCCCGGGCUCAACCUGGGAACGGCAUCCGGAACUGUCAAGCUAGAGUGCAGGAGAGGAAGGUAGAAUUCCCGGUGUAGCGGUGAAAUGCGUAGAGAUCGGGAGGAAUACCAGUGGCGAAGGCGGCCUUCUGGACUGACACUGACACUGAGGUGCGAAAGCGUGGGUAGCAAACAGGAUUAGAUACCCUGGUAGUC